GACGAACGCUGGCGGCGUGCCUAAUACAUGCAAGUCGAACGCAGUGGGGACGGGUGAGUGACACGUGGGUAACCUCCCAUCAGAGGGGAUAACACUUGGAAACAGGUGCUAAACCGAUACUGAUGGAUGGACCCGCGGUGCAUUAGCUAGUUGGUGAGGUAACGGCUCACCAAGGCCACGAUGCAUAGGCGACCGGAGAGGGUGAUCGGACACACUGGGACUGAGACACGGCCCAGACUCCGACGUGAGGCAGCAGUAGGGAAUCUGCGGCAAUGGACGAAAGUCUGACCGAGCAACGCCGCGUGAGUGAAGAAGGUCUUCGGGUCGUAAAGCACUGUUGGUAGAGAAGCGGUAUCUAACCAGAAAGCCCCGGCUAACUACGUGCCAGCAGCCGCGGUAAUAC
rnacentral:rRNA from 1 species